rnacentral:rRNA from 1 species
UGGGGAAUAUUGCACAAUGGGCGCAAGCCUGAUGCAGCCAUGCCGCGUGUGUGAAGAAGGCCUUCGGGUUGUAAAGCACUUUCAGCGGGGAGGAAGGCGGUGAGGUUAAUAACCUCACCGAUUGACGUUACCCGCAGAAGAAGCACCGGCUAACUCCGUGCCAGCAGCCGCGGUAAUACGGAGGGUGCAAGCGUUAAUCGGAAUUACUGGGCGUAAAGCGCACGCAGGCGGUCUGUCAAGUCGGAUGUGAAAUCCCCGGGCUCAACCUGGGACCUGCAUUGGAAAGUGGCAGGCUAGAGUCUUGUAGAGGAGGGUAGAAUUCCAGGUGUAGCGGUGAAAUGCGUAGAGAUCUGGAGGAAUACCGGUGGCGAAGGCGGCCCCCUGGACAAAGACUGACGCUGAGGUGCGAAAGCGUGGGGAGCAAACAGG